CUCCCAUUUAAGAUACCCCAUGUCACAAAAUCAUCUAGUAUCAUGCAGAAAAAAUGUCUAAAGAACCAAAACAGAUUCAAUGCAGUGACGGCAGAAAGUGUAUGGGCAUGAAGAUUCAAAGAAAAAGAUGCGGCCGUUGAAAGAUUUAUAUGCUCCUUUGCUCCAGGUACCUGAACCACUAAGGCCAGUUUCACCAAAUUCAUUUAGUCCAGAAGCACCAACACCAAGUUCAUCUGCACUCUUACCUCCUCCACCACUUCCAGAAUCAGAAGACCAAGUGUUUCCUCCUAAUGGAAAUCAAAAUGAGAAAUCUCUUGAGACCUCACUCAGAGUGCACAUCCUUACCACAGUACAAGGCUAAUGAGCUUGGAUCGAUGGUGUUCUCAGCCCAGUGGACUGAAAACAAUAGAUUGAAGAUUUGUGGCAACCCUGUGACUACCAACUCUAUUGAAACCAUUUCUCCAAUAGCAUGAGCUCACUUCAGAAUGAAUGAAUGAGAAUUUAUCCUUGAAGAGGCCCUACAAAGAUUCAUUGAUCUGAGGAGAAGUAAAGAGAUAGAGCCACAGUUGAGGUAAUACCAGGAGCAGGGCUGGUAGGCCUGAAUAAAUGGUUGACUUAUUUUAUAAAUGUCUCAGCUAGAUCUGUAUUCAGAAAAACAACAAAUAUCUCUGUGACCUUCCACAAUUCCCUUUAAUAUAUGCAAACCAAUGAAAAUAGGCUAAAAAUGAACAAUCUUUGCUGAUGCAAUAACAAUUAUGCACACAAUUCAGUCGUUUAAAAGAUCUGUAAUUUCCCCAUUGAUCAAAUUCACU
rnacentral:lncRNA from 1 species